ACUUAAGAAAGAAUGGAAAUGUGUAGAUAAAUAUGCGGUCAGAACAUCGAAACUGAAAGGGAAAAUUCCGGGUUGUGAAGUUACUCAACACCCCAGCUCGUCGGGUAGAGUCCACGGGUGCUCCCGGUCAGAAAGGAAGGAGAUUCCAGCCACAAACCGGAGCGAAAUUGCCGUCAGUAGACAGAGAUAUUUAUUUGUUGCGCAACAGGUUCAAAGGUCAGUAAGAACCCUGAGCAUGGGGUGACAUUCACUUUUAAAACUUCCCACGGUUCCCCAUAUGACAUUGCAUACAGUGUCACUAAAACGUCAUUUUUACAUCAAUAAAAUGUCAAAAGGUGAAGGGUUAUAUAUGAUUAACAUAAACAGACAUGUCAGGUCAAGUCCUCAAGUACAAGGUUAGCAUAGACAAGCAUGUUCUAAACACCUCUUAAGUACCCAUCACCAAGAGAACAAUGGCACUUGGGAAACAUCUUUGUCCAUGGGCUAGUCCAGAGAUGUGCAGCCUGAUACUUAGGCAAGCCUGAUAACCUUGCUAAUGUCACCCUGGGGUGUUCUCUCGAGGUUGGGGCAAUGUGUAUGUGAUCUCAGGCUUGAGGGUUAUGGCGGACAGUUCAAGCCUCUCUGCCAACGUGACUUCCAAUCCCUCGGGUAAUGGUAGUGGGUGAAGGGGUGAAAAUGCUUUCUACAUGGAGGAAAACAGCAUUGGAAUUAAAGGAAUUGGCUAAGAAAUGGAUUUCAUAUGAAUUUCCAAAGCUCAGUCCUUUUUUCCAAGCUGCUAAAUAAAAGCUACGGUGGUUUGAUAGCAGCAGAUAUACAUUGUAACAACCUUUGAGUGAUUGAAACCAAUUAAUAACCUUUUAAUACAUUGAACCCAUCGUUAGCUCGGCAGGGGGCUUAAUGAAGCUGAACAGUUUUGCAGAGCUGAGCUGGACAAUUUUGCAAAGGCAUGGUAAAAGAAGCUCCCUGCCGGUUGAGCUUCUUGCCGCUAGGGGCUGCUGUUCGAUACCCACCAUUGGCUAGCUGUCAAAAUUGAGCUCUCCUGAUUGGGCGGCAGCCGGUAGUAUGCAGAUACAAACUUCAUUCAUACAUUCAGUGUCCGUGUUGUAUAGUGGUUUAAAGGGACGGGGAGGAGAAGCUGCGUACAGACUCCUAUUUCCUGCAUGCGCACACAAGGGCACAUGCUGCGUUUACUCUGCUACAAGUCUGGCAAGCUGAGUGGCAGCAGAAGUGCACUGGAUUCAUUCUUUAUCUCACAGGUUAUGGGGGCUAACCUUCCAGGUUAUGGAGGUUUUCAGUCAUGCCUGUGCUGUGUCUGUGUGUGAAGAGCUGCAGAGAAGUCCAGCUAGAGAUCCUGCCAUGCUGUGUGCUUAACGCAAGGCAGUGAAACUCGCUGGUGAAGAAGGACCUUGCUGGAGAUCGCCUCUUCAAGGACUGGCUGGCAGGAGCAUGAGUAGGCUAAGCUCCGGGGGAGAAGAAGGCAGAGGCUCAAGAGACCUUCAAUGUCCCAUUUGAGGGGCUCAAUGGGCACAACUGGGAAGAUUGGUGUGAUGGCCUGGGAAUCCGAUUCAGAGGCUGAACCGGAGGAACCCCAGCCUGCACAGGAGUCUCCGCCUCCAGGGCCGGAUGAACUGGGGCAGGGCCUUGAUUCUGAAGCACCUGCACCUGUGCCGGAUCCUCAGGAGCAGGCACCAGGUGAAUCCUCUCUGGCUCCGGAGGUGAUUGAAGGCACAGUGCCUACAGGUGCGCCUCUCCCAGCCCUGUCAGGGGAAGGUGAGUCUCCCCCUGGGUCCAGUAACUCUCCAGCCUCUCCUGAGCUGCAGAGGCUCAGGGCACAGAGGCGGAGGGAACUGGUUUCUCCCAGGAGGAGUGCUCGCCUUAAGGCCAGGAGAGGCGGGUCUCCUGGGGGCCGGGACCGCCCCUGGCCUCAGAGAAGAUAAAGGCGAGUCAGCCUGGUCCCAGGUGGCGGGAGCAACAUCGUUGAAGAGCUGUUUCGGCCAGCACCCUCUCCUGUUCCUCAAGAAUUCCUGUCCUUGCCCUGCUCCUCGCCCUGGACCCCGCUUCGCCCGUGGAGGACUGUCUGCCGACCCUUGACUCAGGUCCUGGACCUUGCCCCACGGUAACCUCCCCAGCACAAUUGGUCCCGAAGAGUCAGGGCCUGGCUUACAGGCAAGGGGCUCUGGAACUGUACACAGAAUGCCCCAGUCCCUGCACCAGCUGGUGCAGCUGCAGCUGCAAGAGUAACAGCCACUGCUGCAUUGAGGAGAGACCAGAGAAUGAUGGGUCUACUGGUGCUCAGUUUGGACUCUUCCCAAUUGCCCCAUGUUGAUGGGCUAGGGACUUCACAGGCAAUCUGGCAGGCUCUGGAGAGAGUGCACCUACGCACUACAGCAGGGGCCAAGAUUCAUGUGACAAGGACUCUUUUUGAGAUGAAACUACGUCCUAGCGAACCUGUUAGAGACCACAUUACGGGUAUGCUGGCUGCGUUCAGUAAACUGUGGCAGCUCAAUGUGGCCUUCCCUGAAGAAUUAAAAGUUUACAUUCUUCUGAGCUCAUUGGAUAAAAGCUAUGAGAAUUUGUGUUAGACCUUGGAGACCAUGCCAGUGGGGCAGCUGAUGUUAGAGUUUAUCUCGGGUAGGCUGUGUGAUGAGGAACAAUGCUGGCAGAAAGAUGGAGGGCUGUCCUGCAACCAGGUGUGGGGGGGGGGGGUGCAGGGAGAAGUGAAGAAACAGUGAAAGUUUUUUUUCACCUUGUCAUUGUUUUCAUUGUGGCUCUGAUUCCCAUCUGGUUAGACAGUGUCCAGUGGAGCCACAGGAAGCCUCCAAGGCCGUUUCCCAGGGCAACCAGAUUAGAGGUGCUGCCAAGCAUGGGAAGGCUCAGAGAGGCCCCAAGAGAACCGACAGAGACAUAUCGUCACACCACCACCUGGCCGCUUCUAUGGCAACAGUGAAAAGCUGCGAUCAAGGCCAAGUGCUGAGCUGGGUGAUUGACAAUGGUGCCAGUCACUAUCUGAUGCCCUCUGCUGGUCUUCUGAGGAACUGCAGGGCUGUGAUGACAGGAAAAAGUGUGACUCUUGUAGAUGGUUUCAAGCGUAAACUAACUGUUUCAGGCUCUGUUUUCGCUUCUUUUUUUACAGGCGGAGAUUGAGGCCCACGUCAUGCCAGAGAUGCAGUGCUGUUUGCUGUCUGUUUCUUCUCUUGUCAAUGAUGGCUACAAAGUGUGUUUUGAAAAUAAUGUGUGUUCCAUUUCCAGAGGUGGGCAACAACUGGUCAGUGUUGAGUGCAAAAACAGGCUGUUUGUUCUGGAAACGUCUAUUGCAGGUAAAGGUCCCACUGAGCCAGCACAAGCACAGUGUGCUAACAUUCCCAUCCACGAUGGGUGGCACAGGAGACUGUCACACGUUAACUGGGGGUAUGUGAAGAAGAUCCCAAGUUGCACUGAGGGAUGCAAGAUGAAGGCAUGUGCCAAAUACCUGGAUUGCAGGGCCUGCAAGAAAGCUAAGGUUCAAAUGUGCACUUAUCCUAGGUCUGACAGGGUAACCACAAAACCUUUUGAGCUAGUUCAUGCAGACCUUUGCGGCCCUAUGCAAGUUGCCAGUCUGGGUGGGGCAAAAUUUGUGUUAUCUCUGGUGGAUGAUUUCUUCCCAAAAUGGGUGGUUGUUCUCCCUGAAGCACAGGGAGAGGCUGUUGCCUUGGUGAAAGACUGGAUCACUGCAGUUGAACUACAGUUCUCACUGCAGGUCAGGAGAUUUCAAUCAGAUCGUGGUGGGGAGUUCCCCCAGUCUGCGCUGCAGAACUUCUUCCGCCGGAAAGGGAUAUGCUACAGGUUGACAGUCAUGCAUUCUCCUCAGGAGAAUGGGGUGACAGAAUGUCGGAACCGCACGCUGCAGGAGGCAACAGAAGCCAUGCUUUUUGACACAGGGUUGCCUCAGCGCUUUUGGGCAGAAGCAUGGAAGGCUGCAUCUUUCACUUUGAACCGCUCGUACAGUUCUGUAGUAGGGGACACGCCCUAUUUUCUGCUGCAUAGUAAGAAGCCCAAGGUGCAUUUCUUUUGUGUGUUUGGGUGCGAGGCUUUGGUCCUUGUACCAAAGGCCAAGCGUAGAAAGGGUGGCUCCCCAAAGAAUGAUCUUUUGUGGGUAUGAGCCAGGGACCAAGGGGUGGAGGUUUGCCUAUCCCGAAGGUAAUCAGUCUAGGAUUCUAGUUAGCAGGAGUGCUGAGUUCUGUGAGCAAAGUGGAUGGACACAUAUCCAUGGGAAUCCUGACAUCCUCUCAGAAAGUCUGCUUGACUCUGCUGAGGAGGAAGAAGCUGAAACUGAUCCUGCAGCUGAGGAUCAGAUCCCUGACCAAGGGCAAGAACAGGAAAGGGCAUCUCCUAAAGCUGUUAAGCUAGUGCAAAGGAGUGCACCUUCAUCACCCACAGGUCCAGUUGAGAAGUCCAGAAGAUGCAGUAAGAGGGGGAGUCCUCUGUGGGCAAGGACGCUCUAGCUGGCCCUAGUGGGUCAGAGGGGGUACCUGAAGUAGCGCUCAGGCGGUCAGCUUGCACUACAAAGGGAAAACCACCCGAAAGGUUUGAGGUCACUAGCGUGUGGGUUGGUCUGGCUCAAUGUGAACCAGAGAGCUUUGAGGAAGUUCAGAAAUUGCCUGAGCCAGAAAAUGGCAAGUGGCAAUGAAGAAAGAGCUGAGCUCAAUGGAGUCUCUAGGCAUGUUCUCCAUCAUGACGCUGCCAGCAGGCAAGCAGGCCAUGAGCAGUCGUUGGGUUUACCAUCUUAAACCCACGGCAACUGGAGAACCACAGUACAAGGCUAGACUAGUAGCCAGAGGUUUCCACAAGUCCAUUUAUGGUCUGAAACAAUCGGCCGGGAACUGGAACUUGAGUCUGAACGAAGCCUUGCAGAGCAUGGGUUUCAAGAGGAGUCUUGCUGAUCGCUGCCUGUACCUGAAGGGGUCAGGAGAGUCACAGGAGCUAGUUUCGGUGUUUGUGGGUGAUAUAAUCUACGUAGCCAGGACCAAGAAGCAGGUUCAAGGUUUUGCCAAAGAGCUUGGAAAACAUUUUCGACUCAAAAACCUAGUCCAGUGAAAAUUUACCUAGGUGUCCAGUUUGAUACAAACCAGGAUGGAAGCUUCUUGCUCAGUCAGAAAGGCAAGAUUGAGCAGUUGCUUGAGAAGUUCAGAAUGUCUGAAUGUGCAGGGGUCAGAACACCCAUGGAGAUGAGCUACAUGAAAGACAGUCAGCUUGGGGAAUGUGCUGAGUUCGAAAACGCUGAGAUCUUUCAGUCAGCUCUGGGUAGUCUGUUGUAUCUCUCCCAGUGGAGCAGACCUGACAUAGCAUUUGCUACCAAUCUGCUCAGCAGGGAGGCUACAAAGCCAAAUGUGAGUGCCUGGAAUGGUAUCAAGAGGGUUACCUGCGUUACCUGCAGGAUACCAAAGAUUUCUGUCUCGAACUGUCAGCUGAGGGUGAAGCACAGCUCACCUGCUGGACUGACAGUGAUUGGGCGAAUCUGGAAGACAGGAAGUCCGUGUCUGGGAUGGUAAUAAAGUUUGGGGAAUCUCUAGUUGGGUGGAAGUCCUGAAAGCAAAGUCUCAUUGUGCUUUCCUCUACAGAAGCUGAGUUCAGUGCCUUGUCAGAGCUUUGUAGGGAACUAGAGUUUUACACUUGUUUGGUCCAAGAAAUCUGUGGGGAGUGUUGUUAGCCCACCACUGUUUGGGAAGACAAUCAACCCUGUCUGAAGUUGGCAGAGUCUGGACAGUUCAAGUCCAGAACCAAACAUUUGGACAUACGUUUCCAAAAUGUGUGUCAGAGUGUCCAGACAGGCUUGGUGAAUCUGAAGUACUGUCCAAGCCAGCAGAAUGUGGCAGAUGGGUUUACUAAACCUUUGAGCUUCCAGAGACAGAGUGAGUUCUGUGCAGGGUUGCUUUUGGGGUAAGUGGUAUGCUUACAUGCCCCCAGCUGUGCAGGACGAGAGGGGGUGUGAGGAGCUUACAGGGUUAAACAGCUCAGAGUCUGCGUCCUGCCCACUGGGGUGUGUGUGG
rnacentral:lncRNA from 1 species